rnacentral:ncRNA from 2 species
AGCAGAGUAGAUGUCGAAGCGUUAAGUGUCUGACGAACGGGGAGUUGUCGCCAGAACGAAAAGCAAAGCUUACGGUUUCGACCAUCGCAUCCCGCUGCU